GAGCCCCUAGAUACUGAACCCCGCCCUUGUUGCUGCCAACUCCGAUGGGCAGAAGGGUUACAACAGAAUACGAUUGUUUAUUAGUUCUCAGUAGAUAAUGAGGCCAAACCACAAAGUUUGGAGCUGAAUUUCCCAAUAGCUUGAACUGUUCAGAUCACAGGCUUUGGUUCAGGUCAUUAUAGGCCCACUGGCUUCCAGAUCAAAACUAUCCAAGGGCUCGGGAUGUUCAGAUAGGGAGUUUGGAUACAGUCCCAUUUCUGGUUGUCUGUAAAGUUACAAGGCCAAAUUCUCUCCGUUAUGCUAUAGCCAGUCCAUUGGCUUCAGUGCAAUGGCACCAGUGUUAAGAGAUUAGGCCAUACCAUUUAUUUACUGAUUACAUAUUAAAUACAUGUAAAUAAAUACCGAGUUGAAAACAGACUGUCCCCAAUAGACAGUUGUAUAUUUCACCUGAAAGAAUCUGAACGACUAAAGACAGCUCACUGUGUAAUGAAAGAAGCUAUGCACACUUUUCCGCCAGUCAUGCUUUUUUAAUGAGAAGCUUUGCCAAGCAACAAAACAAAAGGUUCCUGCAAUCAGUUUACUUCCACAAACAGCAGAUUAAGAACCAGUUCUAAACUUAGGGAUGCAAAGUAACUUGCAUUCUAACAGCAGGUUUUUGAGGGCUAGUAACAGAUGCAAAACCUGCUGUGACUGGAUGGAUUAUUUCAAUACAACAGAAAAUGAUAGUGGGGUAAAAAACUAUGCAACAGCCGAUUGAAAAGGAAAUUUGUUUUUCUUCUCCAAAAAUAUUACUGAUAGUUACCCAUUUUUGACCCGGAGCAGUUAACUAAAAUUUGGGGCCCUGCAGAUUGAUUCCAUUAGGAGGAUAAAUUGAUGAUGAAGUCAGCUGUCUUUGAUGCAACCGUGUUGAUUUUUAGAAUGUACAAAGUCCUCUUUCCCUGAACACUGGAGGGAUCAAACAGAAAAUAGUUACUUUGCUUACAGCAUCAAGCCUUUUUGCUCACAGCUCCAAGCCUCUUCUAGGCAGCACUCUGCCCAAAAGCUCUGUCAUUUACCUUUUUCUCAAGGUCAUGCUACUAAUGCUUCUGUUGCUACAUCCUUCUCUGUCCCUUCUACUGUUUCUCUCACCAAACAAUAGUCAGUGAAACCCCACUGCUCACAUGUGCCUUUGGUUUAGGUGGUGACAAUGUGCCUCUGUUUGGGAUGGAGAAUGCUACCCAGCUACAUAAAGGAGCAUCUUACAACAAUCUGAAAUGUAGGGCAGUAGGUACAAUGGAUUGGGUUUGAAAGUGGGGCAUGUAAAACAGACUCUUAAGGAGCUGACACGUAUAAUUUAACUAACCUUACUAGUGUGCUGCAGCAGUAAAGAAAACAAAUAGGGUGCAUGGUGCAUGCAUAAAGGGGGAAGAAAGUCAUAUGGAAAAUCUUAGUGAUACGAUAUAUAACUAAUAUUAAACUCCCUCAUCUGCCAUGCAGUGGUGUUUUUGGUUACUGUUACCUGAGUUAACAAGAGCCAGAGGGAUGAUAUGGCAAAGGUUCAAAGAAGGGCAAUGAGAAUUACUCUUAGAGGUUACUCUUAGAAUAUUUAGAUUGGCUAGCCUUUUUGACAAUGCCACUCCCGUGCACCAACUCCCUUGUCCCAAUUUUGUAUAAAAAAUUAGUCAGUGGAAGGGGAACUUGUACUUGGAUCUCCAACAGCCCAGUCAAAUGCCCUUACCAGAGGACUGUGGAGUCCAGCUCAUGUUUUCUAUGGCCUAAUGAUUUAUAUUUAUGCAAAGUGGAACAGAUUCAACAGGCGAGACAGAGAGACCCUGCACCCAAAUAUCUCAUAGCCCCGUGCUUAGGGCACUCACCUGGGACCUGGGGUCAAAUCCCGACUCCACAUGAGGCAGAAGAGGCAUUUGACCCCGGGUCUAGCACUUCCCAGAUAAGUACUCUAAUCAGUGGGCCAACAGCAGGCUCCGUCUCAUAUAUUUUGAGAAAGGGCUUAGAUACCUACCUCCAGCAGAGGGCUCACAGCUGUGAGUCCUGAACAGAGAGAGGCACUCCCAGCAGCUCCGAGUUAGGUGCCUAAUUCCCUUUGAGGGAUGGGGUGUAGACCACACCCCUUGCCUCAGCAUUUCCCUGUUGGCUUGUUUAGGUGACUCCCAACUCAGCUUGCUGGCUUCUGUGAAUCUCACUCUUAGGUGACUAACUAUCCCUGUGCAUUGUAUAGGGAGCCUGGGUAUUUACUCAGGGCUGUGGAUGGCACUAGGCGGCAGGAGUUAGGCGUUGCAACAUGAGUUUAAGUCCCUUUGCGGAUCUAGCCCAAAGGGACAGUUUUGAACUGCCCUCUCUUUCUUUCUUUCAAAGUGUCAAGCUGCCCAUUCACCAAUCAUCUGUGGACUCUCGGCAACUCUUUUAACCCAUUUUACUCCCAAUCCUGCAAAACUUUAGUAGACAGAACUUCCAUGAAUUCAUUGGCACUAGUGGCAUGAGUAAAGUGAGCAGGAUUUUGUUAGAGGUAUGGUAAGUUAGCCACUACAUAUGUUAGGCACAGUAUACACCUUUUUAAUAGGUAUUAUGUGCAUGGUUUUAAUAUGAUAUAUGUGUGUGUGCUGGGACAUUAUGUUUACUGGGCACAAGCAAACAAUAUGCAUUUUAAUACAGCUAAAUGUAAUGUAUACAUCUAGGAACAAAGAGUGUAGGUUAUACCUACAGAAUGGGAGACUCUAUCCUGCGAAGCAGUGACCCUGAAUGAGAUUUGGGGGCUAUGGUAGAUAAUCAGCAGAACAGUAGUUCUUUUGGCCAAUGUCACACUGGGAGCUUAUGCAAUCCUGGGAUGUGUGAACAGGGAAAUGUCAAGUAGGAGUCGAGAGGUUAUUUUACCUCUGUAUUGGCACUGAUGCAACUGCUGCUAAAAUACUGUGUACAGACCUAGUGCUCACAAGUCCAGGCAAAUGUUGAUUAAUUGGAGAGAAUUCAGAGAAGAGCCAUGAGAAUGAUUAAAGGAUUAGAAAACUUAUUUUAUAAUGACAGACUCAAGGAGCUCAAUCUAUUUGGCUUAACAAAAAGAAGGUUAAAGGGUGGCUUGAUUACAGGCUAUAAGUACCUAGAGAGGGAACAAAUAUUUAAUUUGAGUUCUUCAAUCUAGCAGAGAAAGAUAUAACACAAUCCAAUGCCUGGAAGUUGAAGCUAAACAAAUUCUGACUAGAAAUAAGGCGUGGAUUUUUAAUUGUGAGUGUAUUUAACCAUUGGCUUUAAUCAAAGGUCAUGGAGAAAAAUUCUGUGGCUAGAUUUAGUGAUAGUAAUAACAAACCUACAUUGGAUGAAAGAUGCUAGAUCAGAUAGUUCCUGAAGUCUUUACAAGCUUUAUUAAAUGACUGAAUAAAACUAUCUACUGCAUUAUUGCAGUACUGAGCGUGGGGUUUAGAACCCAAACUCUCAAGAAAUGCAGAAGUUGAAGCUCCCACAAAAACAUUAACUUGCCCACGUUGCACAUCCUGUGUUAAGUCAUGGCAUACAUUGAGCAAUAUACAAAGUUAUAUAUUGGUAGGGCAGAAGGAAAACACCUGUGCUUAGGGCACAGAAUUGGAAGUAUGGAGACAUGGUUCUAACUUCUAAUCCUAUAUCUGCCCUAGGCUUCCUGUGUGACCAUGGGCAGCCAUGAAAGCCAAGAGUGCUGACUGAUUUGGGGCAUCAACCUGGAACAUCUUGGGAUUGGUUUUCAGAAGUGCUGAGCACCCACAGUUCAAGGUGGAGUCAAUGGAAAUAAGGCUCCAUCACAAUGGGAUUUUCAUAGCAUUGUGCCUCCAGUAUGGGAAGCAGGAUCAUCCUUUAAAUGUGGACAUUCCAAACAAUGAUUCUGACCUGUCAAAAGAAAGCCUGGAACUGUAUAAAAACACCUUGGGUCCUGAUCCUUUUCAUCUCAGAUCUGCUUAAUGCUUCAUGCAGGGGAAUCUUAAACCAUAAGGCCGAGAUCUCCAGUCCUAAUCUGGAUCACCCUGAAUAUGAACAUUGGACUAUAACCUAUGGAUUAAUUCUAAAAGAACUCUUUGCAACUACAAAGCUCACCAUCUCUACUAUGAAUCUAAUCUCAAAACUGUACUCGUGUCUAUAUGUAUAGUGAUCUUUUAACCAAUAAUCUCUCUUCUUUUUAAUAAAUUUUAGUUUAGUUAAUAA